rnacentral:sRNA from 1 species
AACAAGUAAGAAACUGUUCAAUAUUCAAAUCGGAAGGGUGAAGAAGAGAGUUGAAGAUUGUAUUUACUAUUGCUAACGAACAAACACAUUACAAUUUUAUCAUAAUAUUUCAAGAUCCUUUAAGUAUGAUUCUCCUAAUCGCAUGUUCACAUUUACCAAGUGAUUUGAAACAAGGCAGUCUGCGGCCAAUGUGAUUUUGGUCAGUCUAUUUGUUCUUCUCCAUGACGCCUGC